rnacentral:lncRNA from 1 species
CCCACUCCUACAUGCCUAAGCCAAUGAACACUAAUGCUCUUCCUCUCUUUUUCUCCCUUUCGCUGCCCCCUAUUUUGAAGAGAAAGAAGAAGAGAGAGUCGCUCCUUCGUACCUCUCUCUCUUCUCUUUUCUCUCUCUCAUCUCUCCCUUCCUUUUUCUCUGUUCUUUCUCUAAUUGGAUCUAGGGAUCCAUGGAAGAUGAAGUAGGGGAUUUGAUAUUAAACUC